AUUGAACGCUGGCGGCAGGCCUAACACAUGCAAGUCGAACGAGUGGCGGACGGGUGAGUAAUGUCGGGGAAACUGCCUGAUGGAGGGGGAUAACUACUGGAAACGGUAGCUAAUACCGCAUACCAUCGGAUGUGCCCAGAUGGGAUUAGCGAGUAGGUGGGGUAAAGGCUCAACUAGGCGACGAUCCCUAGCUGGUCUGAGAGGAGGACCAGCCACACUGGAACUGAGAAACGGUCCAGACUCCUACGGUAGGCAGCAGUGGGGAAUAUUACACAAUGGGCGCAAGCCUGAUGCAGCCAUGCCGCGUGUAUGAAGAAGGCCUUCGGGUUGUAAAGUACUUUCAGCGGGGAGGCGUUACCCGCAGAAGAAGCACCGGCUAACUCCGUGCCAGCAGCCGCGGUAAUAC
rnacentral:rRNA from 1 species